UCCGAUUAUGGUUUUGAGAAAAAAAGAAAGAAAAAACAAAGUCUUCGUCGUCCACUCUCAAGCUCAACAAAGUUCUUGGGUCCUCCUCUCUAUUAUUACCACUUCUUCACCAAUCCUUUUCGAAGAGUUUUGUAUUCACGACAUGAGAAAGAUCCCAACACUACUGAUCGUUUUAGUAUAGGUUGGUGAUUGUGUAUCUUCAUUAGUAGAAGGUUAAAGAUGGAAGGAAAGAGAUUGGAUCUUAGAUUUCAUCACUCUACAUCAUCACAAUCUGUGGAAUCUGCUGCAUUGGAUUUGGAUAAAAAUGUUUACAAUCAUAUUAAAUUGGCGUCUUCAUCGCCGCUUCAACCGUUUCCAUCAGGCGCUCAGCAUCCUGAAACUAGUGCUGCUGCUGCUUACUUCUCUUGGCCUACUUCAAGUAGAUUGAAUGAUUCAGCGGAAGACAGAGCAAACUAUUUUGCAAAUCUUCAAAAAGGUGUUUUGCCUGAAAGUUUUGAUGGUUUACCUACUGGGAAGAAAGCUACUACAUUGCUUGAGUUGAUGAUGAUUAGAGCUUUUCAUAGUAAGAAUUUAAGGAGGUUUAGUCUCGGUACGGCUAUUGGAUUUCGGAUUCGACGAGGUGUUUUGACAAAUAUAGCGGCUAUUCUUGUUUUUGUUGCUCGGAAAGUUCACAAGCAAUGGCUUAAUCCUCUUCAGUGUUUACCUACAGCCUUGGAGGGUCCUGGAGGAGUUUGGUGUGAUGUAGAUGUUGUUGAGUUUCAAUAUUAUGGUGCACCUGCGCAAACACCUAAAGAGCAGGUGUAUACAGAGCUUGUUGAUGAUCUGAGAGGCAGUGGUUCGUCCAUAGGAUCUGGUUCACAGGUGGCUAGCCAAGAGACAUAUGGAACCUUAGGUGCAAUUGUAAAGAGUAAAACUGGUAUCAGACAGGUUGGUUUCCUAACAAACCGGCAUGUUGCAGUUGAUUUAGACUACCCAAGCCAGAAGAUGUUUCAUCCAUUGCCACCUAGCCUCGGACCCGGAGUCUACUUAGGUGCAGUGGAAAGAGCAACUUCAUUCAUUACCGAUGACCUUUGGUAUGGCAUUUUCGCUGGAACUAACCCAGAAACAUUUGUUCGAGCUGAUGGAGCCUUCAUUCCAUUUGCCGAGGACUUCAAUACGAACAAUGUAACCACAACUGUCAAAGGGAUUGGUGAGAUUGGUGAUAUCCAUGCUACUGAUCUACAGUCUCCAGUUAACAGUCUAAUAGGAAGAAAAGUUGUCAAAGUUGGAAGAAGCUCGGGUUUGACCACUGGGACCAUAAUGGCUUACGCGUUGGAAUACAAUGACGAGAAAGGAAUUUGUUUCCUAACCGAUUUUCUUGUUGUUGGUGAAAACCAGCAGACUUUUGAUCUUGAGGGUGAUAGUGGAAGCCUUAUUCUGUUGGCUGCGGGCGAUGAGAAGAACGAGAAACCGCGACCUGUUGGAAUCAUAUGGGGAGGAACAGCAAACAGGGGACGGUUGAAGCUAAAAGUGGGGGAACAACCUGAGAAUUGGACAAGUGGAGUUGAUCUUGGCAGAGUUCUUAAUCUUCUUGAGCUUGAUCUCAUUACUUCCAAUGAGGGUCUUCAAGCUGCGGUGCUGGAACAGAGAAACGGUAUUAUGUGUGCUGCGGUUGAUUCCACCGUCGUGGAAUCAUCUCCUGGUGUGUGCAAUAUUUCCAGGUGUAAAACGGGUGAGAACUUUGAGCCUAUUAACUUGAAUGUCCAGCAAGUUCUUAUAGAAGACGACAACUCAAACAUUCACCCAGAGUUCCAAAUAGAAGACGUGUUAGAAUCAGUGGCUGUGAUCGAAGAACACCAGUUCAUUCCAAGUUCAAGCAACAACGGAUCCGCACUUCAUCAGAAACCUAAUGGACCAGAGAAUCUCGAAUCCAAGAACCUGUCUUCGCUUAAGACUAGUAGCUCAGGUGAUGAGAUAGGCUUUUCUUUGCAGUUAGGUGAGUCAGAUACAAAGAAAAGAAAGCGAACUGAUUCACCAGAUGGUUCUCAAGAAGAUGAAGAGUGAGGGUUAUGCUCAUGAGACUUCAUAACAUACCAGAGGAGUCAAUAGUAACAUCACUAUUAUUUUUCCACUGCAUUUUUUCUCCAGAGGAAAGAUAUUCAGAAUAGCAUAUUUGUAAUGGCUAAUGCCAAGGGAUAGUCAAACGUUAUGAGCAUAUAUGUGUUGGUGAUUUUAUGAACACCUAUAA
rnacentral:lncRNA from 1 species